UACGGGGGGGGGCAAGCGUUGUUCGGAAUUACUGGGCGUAAAGGGCGCGUAGGCGGUCAGCACAAGUCAGUUGUGAAAUCUCCGGGCUUAACUCGGAAAGGUCAACUGAUACUGCGGGGCUAGAGUGCGGAAGGGGCAACUGGAAUUCUCGGUGUAGCGGUGAAAUGCGUAGAUAUCGAGAGGAACACCUGCGGCGAAAGCGGGUUGCUGGGCCGACACUGACGCUGAGGCGCGAAAGCCAGGGGAGCGAACGGG
rnacentral:rRNA from 1 species